rnacentral:lncRNA from 1 species
GUUCUCUCUGCUACCACACGGCAAGCGGUACCGGAGCGCCAAGUCUAGGUCCAAAAGACUUCUUAACAACUUCUACCCCCAAACAAUAAGACUCCUGAACAGCUAAUGAAUUGGCUACCCAGACUAUUUGCAAUGCCCCCCCCCCCACACUGCUGCUACUCUCUGUUUAUUAUCUGUGCAUAGUCACUUCAACUCUACCUACAUGUACAUAUUACCUCAAUUAACCGGUAACCCCACACAUUGACUCUGUACCGGUACCCCCUGUAUAUAGUCUCCACAUUGACUCUGUACCGGUACCCCCUGUAUAUAGCCUCCACAUUGACUCUGUACCGGUACCCCCUGUAUAUAGCUUCCACAUUGACUCUGUACCAGUAACCCCUGUAUAUAGCCUCCACAUUGACUCUGUACCGGUACCCCCUGUAUAUAGCCUCCACAUUGACUCUGUACCGGUACCCCCCUGUAUAUAGUCUCCACAUUGACUCUGUACCGGUACCCCCUGUAUAUAGCCUCCACAUUGACUCUGUACCGGUACCCCCUGUAUAUUGCCUCCACAUUGACUCUGUACCGGUAUCCCCUGUAUAUAGCCUCCACAUUGACUCUGUACCGGUACCCCCUGUAUAUAGCCUCCACAUUGACUCUGUACCGGGACCCCCUGUAUAUAGCCUCCACAUUGACUCUGUACCGGUACCCCCUGUAUAUAGCCUCCACAUUGACUCUGUACCGGUACCCCCUGUAUAUAGCCUCCACAUUGACUCUGUACCGUAAUACCCUGUAUAUAGCCUCACUACUGUUAUUUUACCUCUGCUCUUUAAUUAUUUGUUACUGUUAUUUUUUAUUUUUUAUUAAACAGCAUUGUUAGUUAAGGGCUUGUAAAUAAGCAUUUCACUGUAAGAUCUACACCUGUUUUAUGUGGCACAUGUGACAAAUACAAUUUCAUUUGAGGUGGUACCAAUACCCUGUAUCUCUCUGAGGCUGUAAUACUGUUGAUGACCACUAGGUGGAGCCAAUACCCUGUAUCUCUCUGAGGCUGUAAUACUGUUGAUGACCACUAGGUGGAGCCAAUACCCUGUAUCUCUCUGAGGCUGUAAUACUGUUGAUGACCACUAGGUGGUACCAAUACCCUGUAUCUCUCUGAGGCUGCUGUAAUACUGUUGAUGACCACUAGGUGGUGCCAAUACCCUGUAUCUCUCUGAGGAGGCUGUAAUACUGUUGAUGACCACUAGGUGGUGCCAACACCCUGUAUCUCUCUGAGGAGGCUGUAAUACUGUUGAUGACCACUAGGUGGUGGCAAUACCCUGUAUCUCUCUGAGGCUGUAAUACUGUUGAUGACCACUAG